UACGUAGGAGGCGAGCGUUAUCCGGAUUUACUGGGCGUAAAGAGCGCGCGGGCGGCUCUUUAAGUCCGGAGUGAAAUCUCUCGGCUUAACCGGGAGGGGACUUCGGAUACUGGAGGGCUUGAGGGCAGCAGAGGGAGAUGGAAUUCCCGGUGUAGCGGUGAAAUGCGUAGAUACCGGGAGGAACACCAGUGGCGAAAGCGGUCUCCUGGGCUGUUCCUGACGCUGAGGCGCGAAAGCGUGGGGAGCAAAC
rnacentral:rRNA from 1 species